CAGCCGCCGCGGGAAUACAGAGGAUGCAAGGGUUAUCCGGAAUGAUUGGGCGUAAAGCGUCUGUAGGUGGCUUUUCAAGUCCACCGUCAAAUCCCAGGGCUCAACCCUGGACAGGCGGUGGAAACUACCAAGCUAGAGUAUGGUAGGGGCAGAGGGAAUUUCCGGUGGAGCGGUGAGAUGCGUUGAGAUUGGAAAGAACACCAACGGCGAAAGCACUCUGCUGGGCCGACACUGACACUGAGAGACGAAAGCUAGGGGAGCAAAUGGGAUUAGAUACCCCCGUAGUCCCUGUCUCUUAUAC
rnacentral:rRNA from 1 species